rnacentral:rRNA from 1 species
AAAUAGUAUACAGUGAAACUGCGAAUGGCUCAUUAAAAACAGUUAUAGUUUAUUUGAUAAUUGAAUUCUACAUGGAUAACCGUAGUAAUUCUAGAGCUAAUACAUGCUGUAAAACCUGACUUUUCGGAAAGGUUGUAUUUAUUAGAUAUCAAACCAAUAAUCUUUUCGGGAUUAUUGUGAUGAUUCAUAAUAACUGAUCGGAUCAAGGUGUACCUUGAUAGAUCAUUCAAGUUUCUGCCCUAUCAGCUUUCGAUGGUAGUGUAUUGGACUACCAUGGCAGUCACGGGGUAACGGAGAAUUAGGGUUCGAUUCCGGAGAGGGAGCCUGAGAACGGCUACCACAUCUACGGAAGGCAGCAGGCGCGUAAAUUACCCAAUCCUGAUUCAGGGAGGUAGUGACAAGAAAUAACAACUCGGGGCCUCACGGCUUACGAGACUUGCAAUGAGAACAAUUUAAAUCUCUUAGCGAGGAACAAUU